UACGUAGGGUGCAAGCGUUAAUCGGAAUUACUGGGCGUAAAGCGUGCGCAGGCGGUUUUGUAAGACAGUUGUGAAAUCCCCGGGCUCAACCUGGGAACUGCAUCUGUGACUGCAUCGCUGGAGUGCGGCAGAGGGGGAUGGAAUUCCGCGUGUAGCAGUGAAAUGCGUACGAUAUGCGGAGGAACACCGAUGGCGAAGGCAAUCCCCUGGGCCUGCACUGACGCUCAUGCACGAAAGCGUGGGGAGCAAACAGG
rnacentral:rRNA from 1 species